UACGUAGGGUCCGAGCGUUGUCCGGAAUUAUUGGGCGUAAAGAGCUCGUAGGCGGUUUGUCGCGUCUGUUGUGAAAUCCCGAGGCUCAACCUCGGGCCUGCAGUGGGUACGGGCAGACUGGAGUGCGGUAGGGGAGAAUGGAAUUCCUGGUGUAGCGGUGGAAUGCGCAGAUAUCAGGAGGAACACCGAUGGCGAAGGCAGUUCUCUGGGCCGUAACUGACGCUGAGGAGCGAAAGCGUGGGGAGCGAACAGG
rnacentral:rRNA from 1 species